UACGUAGGUGGCAAGCGUUGUCCGGAAUUAUUGGGCGUAAAGCGCGCGCAGGCGGCCUUUUAAGUCUGAUGUGAAAGCCCACGGCUCAACCGUGGAAGGUCAUUGGAAACUGAAAGGCUUGAGUACAGAAGAGGAAAGCGGAAUUCCACGUGUAGCGGUGAAAUGCGUAGAUAUCGGGAGGAACACCAGUGGCGAAGGCGGCUUCCUGGCCUGUUCUUGACGCUGAGGCGCGAAAGCUAGGGUAGCAAACGGG
rnacentral:rRNA from 1 species